rnacentral:lncRNA from 1 species
UGCCUGCUCACAUUUCAGUCAUUGAGGAAAAGAGAAUUGAAUUCUGUUUGAGGUAACUUUAGCCAAAGAGUAUACUAUAAUCCUCAAAUACCCUCUCCGGACUUCUAGUCCUUAUGUGUAAAAUGAAGAGGCUGGGCUCCACGAUGCCCGCGGAGCUCCGGAUCUAUGAUCCUGAGGGGAAAGGCUGGGAAUUUGCCGAUUAGCCCAUCCUAAAACUUCCAAAUGGAAUUUCUACAGAAAUUUCGCAAUAACUUUAAAGACUAACCCAUUAUGGAAAGGCCCCUUUCCUGGGCUUGCACCUGCAAUUUUCUGUCGCUAGAGGUCUCUGGAACUUAUCAGAAAGAUUGAGCUAUUUAGGCUUUUUAUGCUGGGAGUUCACCUACAGGCUCAGCUGUACUGUUACAUAAUCUUCUUACGUAAUUCAGCUCUAGUUAAUUAUCUCGCGGACAAAAUGGGCUGCUGGGGAACCUUUGGGUCAGCUGUGGUGCAGAGGUCUUGGGGAGGGCAGAAUGGAGAGAAGAGGGCAUGCCAGAGGGGAACACGAGGAAAAGACAGAAAAGUAGGGAAUUCCCUUUACCUCCGGAAGCGGUCAGAUGGAGCAGAGCCGUGGAAUAAAGAAAUGGAGGAAUUCCACAUGAACUGGAACGACCUCCAGGAAUUGAUGCAGAGCGAAAGGAGCGGAACCAGAAGAACAUUAUACACAGAGACUGAUACACUGUGGUACAAUCGAAUGUAAUGGACUUCUCUACUAGCAGCAAUGCAAUGACCCAGGACAAUCCAGAGGAACUUGUGAGAAAGAUGCUAUCCACAUCCAGAAAAAGAAUUGUGGAACCAGAAAUGCAUUAGAAAAAUAUAUGAUUGAUCACAUAAUGCGAGAGGGAUGUGAUUAAGGUUUUGAUGUUAAAGGAUUGCUCUCCUGCAAAUAUGAGUAACAUGGAAAUAGGUUUUGAACAAUGAUACAUGUAUAACCCAGUGGAAUUGCUUGUUGGCUUUGGGAGUGGGGAGGAGAAAAGGGGUGGUAUGGGGGAAUCAUGAAAGAUGCACCCCCUUUAAUCACCCUAAUAAUCUGAGAGGCCAGGAUAAGAUGCAGCUUUAUUGCAUAUUGUGCAAAGGACGGG